rnacentral:lncRNA from 1 species
AGCAGAAUGAACUGAAAAUAUAAAACAAGUUCCACGGACGGGCCAGAUGUCAGCAAAAGCUUUUCAGACUGUCUCCUAUGUACCAGCUGAGAAGGACACCAAGGCUUUGAGAAGUUGAAGGAUUUGCUCAGCAUCGCACAGGUGGGUGUAGACACCAGAUUGUCUAAGUGCCUAGCACUUCUUACAACGCGCUUCACUACUUCUUCAUGGAAACUGUAACACAGAAAAGUUCUAACAAAGGGAAUAUCACCCAGCUUAGCAGUAAGUAAAGUGCAAAAUAUUUCUACUAUAAAAUUUGAA